rnacentral:rRNA from 1 species
GUGUUGUGUUGUAAGGGCGCAUGGUGGAUGCCUUGGCAUAGUAGGCCGAUGAAGGACGUGAGAGGCUGCGAUAGGCCUCGGGGAGCUGCCAACUGAGCGUUGAUCCGAGGGUGUCCGAAUGGGGAAACCUGGCCGUCGUUGUGGGCGGUCGCCGUUAGAUGAAUUCAUAGUCUAAUUGGUGGUUACGCGGGGAAGUGAAACAUCUCAGUACCCGUAGGAGUAGAAAACAAUUGUGAUUCCGUUAGUAGUGGCGAACGAACGUGGAUGAGGCUAAACCGCGUGCGUGUGAUACCUGGCAGGGUUUGCGUGCGUGGGGUUGUGGGGAUGCAUUGUGCAGGGUCUGCUAGUCCUGCGUUGUGUUGUGUGGGUGUAGCGGAAGUGGAUUGGAAUGUCCUGCCGUAGACGGUGAGAGUCCGGUACGUGAAACACCCGUGCGUGCAAUUGGUGUGUUGCCCGAGUAGCAGCGGGCUCGUGGAAUCUGCUGUGAAUCUGCCGGGACCACCCGGUAAGCCUAAAUACCUGCUUAUGACCGAUAGCGGAUUAGUACCGUGAGGGAAUGGUGAAAAGUACCCCGGGAGGGGAGUGAAAUAGUACCUGAAACCAUGUGCUUACAAUCCGUCAGAGCCCUUUUUUGUGGGGUGAUGGCGUGCCUUUUGAAGAAUGAGCCUGCGAGUCAGCGGCAUGUCGCGAGGUUAACCCGUUUGGUGGGGUAGUCGUAGCGAAAGCGAAUACUAACUAGUGUGUUGUCAGUGGCAUGUCCUGGACCCGAAGCGGGGUGAUCUACCCAUGGCCAGUGUGAAGCAGAGGUAAGACUCUGUGGAGGCGCGAACCCACUUAGGUUGAAAACUGAGGGGAUGAGUUGUGGGUAGGGGUGAAAGGCCAAUCAAACUCCGUGAUAGCUGGUUCUCCCCGAAAUGCAUUUAGGUGCAGCGUCGUGUGUUUCCUCCUGGAGGUAGAGCUACUGGUUGGUUUAGCGGGACUAUCAUCUUAGCGACAUCAGCCAAACUCCGAAUGCCNNNNNNNNNNNNNNNNNNNNNAGGUUAGAGCACGGCAGUGAGACUGCGGGGGAUAAGCUUCGUAGUCGAGAGGGAAACAGCCCAGAUCGCCGGCUAAGGCCCCUAAGGGUGUGCUAAGUGGAAAAGGAUGUGGGAUCGCGAAGACAACCAGGAGGUUGGCUUAGAAGCAGCCAUCCUUGAAAGAGUGCGUAAUAGCUCACUGGUCGAGUGGUUCUGCGCCGACAAUGUAGUGGGGCUCAAGUACACCGCCGAAGCCGCGGCAAUCACCUUUUUGGUGGUUGGGUAGGGGAGCGUCGCGUGACUGCUGUGAAGCGCUGGGGUAACCCUAGUGUGGAGUGUGCGCGAGUGAGAAUGCAGGCAUGAGUAGCGAAUGAGGAGUGGAAAACUCCUCCGCCGAAUGACUAAGGGUUCCUGGGCCAGGUUAAUCCUCCCAGGGUGAGUCGGGACCUAAGGCGAGGCCGACAGGCGUAGUCGAUGGAUAACGGGUUGAUAUUCCCGUACCCGUGUGUCCGCGCCCAUGGUGAAUCAGGGAUACUAACCCACCUGAACACGCGCCGUUUACUAGCCUUUUAGGUUGGUUGGUGUGUGUGAUGCUGGGGACCUGAACUGGUAGUAGCCAAGUGAUGGGGUGACGCAGGAAGGUAGCCGUGCCACGUGAUGGAUAUCGUGGUGUAAGCGUGUGGCCCGUGUUCUAGGUAAAUCCGGAGCACA